rnacentral:rRNA from 1 species
UACGAAGGGGGCGAGCGUUGUUCGGAUUUACUGGGCGUAAAGGGCGCGCAGGCGGCUUUGUUUGUCAGGCGUGAAAGCCCCGGGCUUAACCUGGGACCUGCGUUUGAUACGGCAGGGCUAGAGUUCGGGAGAGGAGAGUGGAAUUCCCAGUGUAGAGGUGAAAUUCGUAGAUAUUGGGAAGAACACCGGUGGCGAAGGCGGCUCUCUGGACCGAUACUGACGCUGAGGCGCGAAAGCGUGGGGAGCAAACAGG